GCCGGACGCGGUGGCGCACGUCUGUGAUCCCAGCGGCCCAGGAGGCUGAGGCAGGAGGAUCGCCGGUUUGAAGCCAGCCUUGGCAAUGUAGCGAGACUGCAAGCAAUCUAGUGAGAGCCUGCCUUGAU
rnacentral:sRNA from 1 species